rnacentral:sRNA from 1 species
GCCGGGUGUGGUGCACACCUGUCAUCCCAGCAGCUCAGGAGGCUGAGGCAGGAGGAUCGCAAGUUCAAAGCCAGCCUCAGCAACUUAGUGAGGACCUGAGCAACUCAGUGAGCCCCUGUCUCUA